GGGAGACCGGGGCUGGUUGGAACAGGGGCAGGUUGAAACACUGUUAAUAUCCAGGCUACUAGAGGGAGCUGCAACAAAAUUCCAACACUAAACUGACGGCCUUAUUGAGUAGCGUAAACUCACGUAUGUAACUGGUCUCCAGGUCAUUAACCCUUUAGGGCUAUUGAGAGACUUCA